rnacentral:tRNA from 1 species
GGAGAGGUGUCCGAGUGGUUUAAGGAGCCGCUCUCGAAAAGCGGUGUCCCGAAAUGGGACCGUGGGUUCGAAUCCCACCCUCUCCG